GGUCUGCCAUUAAACACUUUCUGGUUCCCUGGACUAAGGAGGGUCCCAGUCUUGUCUUUCAUCCAGGAACUUUCCCUGAUGUAAUCAGGGACACCAUCUUACCAUUUGUCUCAGGCAGAAGAUGGUCCUGGGUGGCCCUGAGUCUAAAACCAUUGCCUUAAAUCAGUUUAUCAUGGGGAAAGCUCACAAGUGUAGCUCCAUGCCUUAGGCCACUGAUUCACUGGAAGGGGAGUAUAUCUGGACCUAUCACAUCUGCCCAUGUAGACCUGGAGGAGAAGAAAAAGUCCUUGUAUGUCUAUUCUACAUUUACCAGAGUUUGAUAUAUCUGCCUUGUCUGCCUUGUUUUGGAAGCCGCCUUGAGUCCCCUUGGAGAGAGAGGACAGGUUAGAAAUAAAAUAAUAAUUGUUAUUAUCAUUAUUGUUGUUGUUGUUAUUGACACACCCAUUUUACUGCCCCACCAUGCUGGAGGACCUUGCAAUGCAUACCUCUUGGUUGGAUUUACA